UACAGAGGGUGCGAGCGUUAAUCGGAAUUACUGGGCGUAAAGCGCGCGUAGGCGGCUUUGCAAGUCGGGUGUGAAAUCCCCAGGCUUAACCUGGGAACUGCAUUCGAGACUGCAUUGCUAGAGUAUGGGAGAGGGAAGUGGAAUUUCCGGUGUAGCGGUGAAAUGCGUAGAUAUCGGAAAGAACACCAACGGCGAAAGCACUCUGCUGGGCCGACACUGACACUGAGAGACGAAAGCUAGGGGAGCGAACAGG
rnacentral:rRNA from 1 species